rnacentral:tRNA from 1 species
GCCUGGGUGGCUCAGUCGGUUGAGCAUCUGACUUCGGCUCAGGUCAUGAUCUCGCAGUUUGUGAGUUUGAGCCCCGCAUCAGGCU